GAUGAACGCUGGCGGCGUGCCUAAUACAUGCAAGUCGAGCGAACAGACGAGGAGCUUGCUCCUCUGACGUUAGCGGCGGACGGGUGAGUAACACGUGGAUAACCUACCUCUAAGACUGGGAUAACUUCGGGAAACCGGAGCUAAUACCGGAUAAUACAUUGAACCGCAUGGUUCAAUAGUGAAAGACGGUUUUGGUGUCACUUAUAGAUGGUUCCGCGGCGGAUUAGCUAGUUGGUAAGGUAACGGCUUACCAAGGCGACGAUGCGUAGCCGGUCUGAGAGGAUGAUCGGCCACACUGGAACUGAGACACGGUCCAGACUCCUACGGGAGGCAGCAGUGGGGAAUAUUGGGCAAUGGGCGCAAGCCUGACGCAGCCAUACCGCGUGAGUGAAGAAGGCCUUCGGGUUGUAAAGCCCUUUUGUUGGGAAAGAAAAGCAGCAUGUUAAAACCUCGCUGUUUUGACGGUACCUAAUGAAUAAGCUCCGGCUAACUUCGUG
rnacentral:rRNA from 1 species